GCUGUGAUGGCCGAGUGGUUAAGGUGUUGGACUUGAAAUCCAAUGGGGUUUUCCCACACAGGUUCAAAUAUCUGUUUGCAGCG